AUGCUUUAGCAGCACACAUACUACAAUUGGAAUUAUACAGAGAAGAUUAGCAUGGCCCCAGCACAAGGAUAGAGCACAAAUUCAUGAAGCGUUCCAUAUUAGA